GUUCUUAAAAUGAACAUAUAGUUCCUAUAUGAAGAAAAAAAUCAAUUAAAUAAAUAAUAAGACCAUUUGUAUAAUCCUUUAUUGUUUAUAAAAUAUUUUCAUAUAUAUAAUUUCAUAACAAUCCUUUAAGGUAUUGUCCUGAUUUUGCAGGUGAAGAUAAUGUAGAUCAGAGAAAUUAAGUAACCUGCCCAUGGUGGUACAGCUAGUUAGUGAUGGAACUUGGUCUCAAAAUUUGUUUCUCUUUCUGUGGAUCCUCUGCAUUUUCACUCCACCAUUCUAUAUCCACUUAGAGGAUAGUUAUUAAAUAUCAGUGGAAUUGUUCCACCUAGAAUCAGAAGCAACAAGAAUGCUAUUAGUCAUAGAGUUUUUAUUUGUCCUAGGCCUGGCAAGAUUAUUUGUUUAAAGCCUGGGUUUGGCAUGGCCUAUGUGAAGGGCCUAUUUGGAUUUUAAUAGUUCUUGUAUAUUUGUUUAAAAAGUCAUUUUACAUAUUUAUAUAAUUACUGAUUACGUAUAUAUGUAUAAAAUGCUUAUGUUUCGUAUGUAUUUCAACUGAGAAGUUCAUUAUUUUAAAAGCCUUCUGACAACUUCUUGGUCUUUUACUGCACACUUAGGAAGGGAGUAGGGUAGGAAUAAUCCUCAUUAUCCACAGUCUACAGCUCAGCAUAGCAUGUAUAUAAUCUCUUGUGACAUUCAUUGUACUUAGUAUUUGUCUUCUUUACUAAGUUGUAGGUUCCUCGGUGGCAGGGACCAUGUCUGUUGUAUUCACCCCUUUAUUUCUAAUGUUAGGCUGGUUAUGAGUGUGCAAUAUAACUUACCCUUUUCUUUUUUUUAAACUAAAUAAACAUAUACACUGCAUUUAUUUUUUAGGUAUAAAAUCUUGUAAUAAGAAUUUUUUUGCAAUGAAUAUUUUCCAUCCAUAGCUUUCAAACAUCUGGUACAGCCGAAUUUAAACAGUCUCAUCAAAUUUAUAAUGAGCUUUGAAACAAGUAGAAUAUAUAUUAAGAAGGAGAAAUGAAUGGCUAACUGCCCAUUGUUUGAGAUAACAGUGUUCAAGCUAUUUUGGGUUGUGGUUCUCUGUUUCAGAGUCAUUUCAACUAUGCAGGCCACUUACUAAAUUCAUAACAUGAGAAUAUGUUGCCUCCUGUCAGAAGGUGGCAUUAGGAUUUUGUAUUCUUUUUAAAUUGGGAGUAUUUUUUUAAAAUUUAGCAACUUAGACCAGGUGUCAAUAUAUUUAUUUGAAGCCCUGCUGGUUACAGUGUAGUAUCAUACUAUGAGUUAUGAAUUCCUCAUUAAAAGAUCUUUAUUUCCUUGAACCACAUGGCAGGAGACAAAAAUAUAAGGUUGAUUUGCUUUUUUUUGCUUUCUGGCUGAUCUGGGCCCACCCUUUCCAUUGAACCUUAUGUCAUGGUCAUGACAGUGAGGUAUAUUUUUCCAUUAUAAGCCAGCAUUAGAUCAGUAUCAAAAGAAGUAGCAGUCCUUAAUGAGCUCAUGUCAGAAGUUAGUUGAUAUCACAGCAAAGUUUCUCUCUAGAAUAAUGUUCUGUGACAUUCAUUGUCAGGACUCUUGCUGAGGAAGGGUCAUUCUGUCAGUUGAUGUUGCGUUCAGGAAGGUCUGCCCUUAAACCUUCCCUAUAUAUAGAUAAGACUAGAAGAAGAAAACAUAAAUUUAAGGCUUUUCAUUUUUUUAUUUUUAUUUUUUUUUAUGCCUACAGCAUCUGGUCUUCCUAGGUGGUCUCCCAUCCAAAUACUAACCAGGCCUGACCCUGCUUAGCUUCCGCAAUCAGACGAGAUCAGGCACAUUCAGGGUGGCAUGGCUGUAGAAAUUUAAGGCUUUUUAAAGCCUUCAGUGCUGUGUAGAUAAAUAUUUCAGAGUGAACUUAUUUAAGGAGUAAAGUUCACAUCUGUAAUAAGACUCUGAAACACCCAGAAAAGUUGAUAUAUUGGUGAAAGGACUUCCUAUUGGAGGCUUUCAUCUGUCUUUCUUUUCCUUGUACACUAGAUCUGCAGAAUUCUUGCAAUAUGUGUUUGUGUGUAUUGGGCCACAUAGUGAAGUUCAGAUAACAUAAAUUUUGAAUCUAGGUGGCUGCUUCUUUGUUUUAUCAGCCAUUUUAGUACUUGUUCAGUUUCCAUUGUUAAUGGUUAUGGAGAGGAAGGCUGUCUUACCUGUUUCUCCUUAAGUUUACAAAAAAGUUUAUUAUGGAGAGAAGUUGAAGUUAAUAUAUAAGUAGGGAAUUUUUGUUUAUUUGUAUAUUUAUCAUCAUAAUUAAAGUGUUUUGUCCUUCAUAUAACACUAAAAACAAUACUGUAUUUUAUUGAACAGUAUACUAUUAGUAAUCACUUUUUGUCAUGCUGAGCCUUCACAGUCUUUCAAAAAGAACAAAAUUUAACUUGUUACAAAAGUACUACAUUUUCAUUGUUGAAAUGCAGAAAGCCUGUCUUUAGUCACAAUCUCAGUGUUUCUCAAUCUUUUUCAGUUUGCUUGAACUGGAUUUGUCUUUUACUCUCUUUGUCCAUUUUUCUCUACUCUUAUUUCUGUUUCCUUGGAUAUUACUACAAACAACUAUAUCUUUUUCAUCAUUAAACCAACCCCUCUAAAAACAUCCCCCCCUAACCCUUAAUUCACUUUUCUGCUGAAGAAUUUCAAGGAAGAGUGAGGAAACCCAGUCUGUUACAACAUUCAAGACUUUAUCAUGUGCUGUUUAGGGAGCCAUGCUCUAUUGAGCUAACUGCUGUUUCAGUAAGUGUGAAAUGAAAUAACUUCAAAAUAACUUUUGAAGAACUUCUAAUCCUGACACACUUAUUAAAAUAUGGGGUCUUUAAGUUGAUUAAAUAUAUUUAACUAUGCGUAUUAUGUGCAGACAAAGGAAUAGAGUAUGAUAGAGUAAUGGACAAAAGGAGACAUAUAAUUAGACAUAGAAGUUGAGGACUCAUUUCCUUCUUUCCAGGCCCUUGGCAAAAGCUUUGUAGAUUCUGUGUUUUUGCAUGCUAGGUCAUCAGUUUUGGGAUAAUUGAUUUGAUUGUAGCUUUUCUUUCCACACCCUCCCUACGCCCCUCAGAUAUCUCCCUUUAAGACUUGGUUUCUGAAGGGCAAGAACUGGGUUAUAUUCUUCUCGAUGUUCCCGGUCCUGGGCUUAUCCCGGUCCUGGGCUUAUUCCAAUCUUUUGCUAUUGGUAUUCCUUCCAUAUGUGUAUAGUGUUUUGAUACUUGCAUUACCAGCUAGUCAUUCUAGGCUAUUUCAUGACAAAGAGUGGUGAUUCUCUUUUUCUGCCCUCAAAUGUUACCAUAUACAAAUGCCUAAGUAAUCACAAACGGAAAAAAAGAUUCAUAAAUGAUAUUAUUGUGUUGGUUACAUAUUGAGACUUUUAGAUUUCAAAAAAUUCUAUGUCACUUCUGUUAGAAGUCAAGUUAUUCAUUAGAUUGGUAUGAGUGUGGGAUAUGUGUGUGUAUAGAGGAUGACAGGUAGUGAAUCUUAGAACUAAAAAUCUUUUACAAAUAUCAUUAAGUUGCAGAAAAUAGUCUUUGGCCCUUAGAGAAUUUCCCACUGAUAAGAUUUCCAGUUUAAGGGGAAAGUGGCUGAAUUUCAUUGCAGCUGGCCACAAUCCAAGUUAAAGUCAUUCUUUCUUUUGAAACACACUUAACUUAUUCCCACAAGUAAGCUUUCUGUGAAGAAAGAGAAAUGGCACAUUUGUUCUUAGAGUUAAGAGUUGAAGAAUCUCUAUUAUCUAGCUUCUCUGUAUUUCCAGGCUUCUCUCUGUUCCCACCCCCAUCUCUGGAGAACUGAACUGGCUCAUCUUUAAGAUGGAUAAUAUAUUUUUAUUCAUACAAUUACAUUGACACUUAUUUUCUGGGCACUUAUUAUGUGCCAGUCACUGUGAGUCAUGGCUACGAGGGAAAGAAGUUCAGACCCUACCACUAAAGAAUUUGUUCUCUACCUGAAGAUUACAUUCAGAUCAUGCAGUGAUCUUUUUCCUUUCCACCAGUAUUUAUGAAUAUGCAGUAGUUAUUUAAUUAUGAAAUUAGUGGAACUAAUACUGAAUUCUCAUUUAAGUAACCUUUUUAAUAACUAAAAAAUUGAAAAAAAAACCCAAAAAACUAAAGAAGAUUGAGUGAAAACCAGUCCUUUAAUUUUCCCAUAAUUAUUGCUUGAGUUUCUGGCACUAAAAGUAGAAUUAAAUGGUGAGAAUUGGGGGACCUUUUUGUUCUUUUAUGCAGCAUUUAUUUAUAUAUGUUUGAAACCAAAAUGAACAUCACUUUAAAUAGGGUUUGAUAUACUCUACAUAAAUAUAGAAAUGUUUGUCACUUAACAAAGAAUUGCUUGCAGGUUAGAAGUGUACUUGUAAACUAAGGAAGUGAAGCCUCGAGGCUGGGAUUCAAAUUCUAUUUCUGCAACUUUCUUAGAUAAAUACCUCUCCGAGCCUCAUUUCUAAAGAAUUUGGAUUAGAUUGCCAAAUUCUUUUCCACUCUGAAAUUCUCCAUGAAAUGGAAGUAGCUAUAUCUUGUCUUCCAUCGAGAGAGAUGGGAAAAAAGUGGGUGGUGGAGAUAAGUUUCUUGUGUUGACUACCUGCUUUAUUGUUAGCCAUUCAUAAUACAAGUUUAAGUGAUUAUGAAGUCCACAGAAGAAUCUUGAGUUAAGGGACAGAAUGAAGUAUUCACAAAUUGGAGGACUGCCCAUGGAAUUUCAUAAAUAGAGAUCUUGUGAGUAAGUCUGCUCUGCUAACAUUUAUUUAGCCUUAAUUGAUACACUAAAUCUCAUAUUGGGUUAGAGUAAACAGCUGCUGCCCAGGCAGCUUAACACUGGUUCUAAGGAAAGUAUGUUGCAUCAAAUGAGCUUACUUGACAUUAAAAUUUGUCACUUACAUGGUUCAUCUGCUGUUUAACCCAUCUGAUUGUGUUCUCAUUGAUGUACAUGUAAAUUGUUUGGCAGUUGGUCAAAAUUUGAACCUUGUAGGCACUGGUGGUUUCUCAUUACUUAGAUCAUAUACCAAGAAUAUUGUUGACAUGUUUUAGAAAUUAGUCAGUAUUUUUUUACCAUAAAGGCAAUGCACACUUACUUUUUUUAAAAAUAGGAAGCACAGAAAAAGAUUAAGAAGAAAAUAAAAAUCGCCUGAAAUUUGA